CCUACGGGAGGCAGCAGUGGGGAAUUUUGGACAAUGGGCGCAAGCCUGAUCCAGCAAUGCCGCGUGAGUGAAGAAGGCCUUCGGGUUGUAAAGCUCUUUUGUCAGGGAAGAAACGGUCUACUCUAAUACAGUGGGCUAAUGACGGUACCUGAAGAAUAAGCACCGGCUAACUACGUGCCAGCAGCCGCGGUAAUACGUAGGGUGCAAGCGUUAAUCGGAAUUACUGGGCGUAAAGCGUGCGCAGGCGGUUAUAUAAGUCAGAUGUGAAAUCCCCGGGCUCAACCUGGGAACUGCAUUUGAGACUGUAUGGCUAGAGUGUGUCAGAGGGGGGUAGAAUUCCACGUGUAGCAGUGAAAUGCGUAGAUAUGUGGAGGAAUACCGAUGGCGAAGGCAGCCCCCUGGGAUAACACUGACGCUCAUGCACGAAAGCGUGGGGAGCAAACAGGAUUAGAUACCCUGGUAGUCCACGCCCUAAACGAUGUCUACUAGUUGUCGGGACUUAAUUGUCUUGGUAACGCAGCUACGACGUGAGUAGACGCCGUCGGGAGGUACGGUCGCGAGAGUUAAACGUAACGAAAGAAAGUUAGUACGGCGUGAGACGUAGACCGACGGACGACGACGAGGGGAGGAGG
rnacentral:rRNA from 1 species